rnacentral:rRNA from 1 species
UACGGGGGGAGCAAGGCGUUGUUCGGAUUUACUGGGCGUAAAGGGCGCGUAGGCGGUCAGCACAAGUCAGUUGUGAAAUCUCCGGGCUUAACUCGGAAAGGUCAACUGAUACUGUGCGACUAGAGUGCAGAAGGGGCAACUGGAAUUCUCGGGUGUAGCGGUGAAAUGCGUAGAUAUCGAGAGGAACACCUGCGGCGAAGGCGG